ensembl:snRNA U6 U6 spliceosomal RNA
GUACUCGCUUCGCUAGCACAUAUACUAAAAUUGGAAUGAUACAGAGAUUAGCAUGGCCCCUGCACAAGGAUGACGCGUAUGUUUGUGAAGUGUUCCAUAUUUUU